GAAUGAUGAAUGCUUCAACUCUGGAGUUUCGUAGGGAGAUGGUGCUGGAGUAUAAAAACUGGCAAAUGUAGCCUCAGCUCCAAAGGAUUGAACUUGAGAAGAUCCAACCAGUCUGUCAAAGGAGUAACAAAUUUGCAAAGGUGAGUUGAAAUAACAUGACACAUCUGGGACUGGCCUCAUUGACCUCUUUGGUAGUGGUGAUUCAUUAAGUGGUCACUUCUUGAGACAGCAAUAUCUGCUUGAACUGCUAUUAACAUUUUGAGACCUUACCCAGACUCAAUUGCUAAAUAAAGAAUCAAGAUCUCGAACCAAACCUUUCUCCU